UACAGAGGGGGCUAGCGUUAUUCGGAAUUAUUGGGCGUAAAGGGCGCGUAGGCGGCCAUGCGUGUCUUCCGUGAAAUCCCUCGGCUUAACUGAGGACGUGCGGAAGAAACUGCAAGGCUCGAGUCCGGGAGAGGGGGGUGGAAUUCCCAGUGUAGCGGUGAAAUGCGUAGAUAUCAGAAGGAACGCCGGUGGCGAAAGCGACGGACUGGACCUUUUCUGACGCUGAGGCGCGAAAGCUAGGGGAGCAAACGGG
rnacentral:rRNA from 1 species